rnacentral:misc_RNA from 1 species
UAUUUAUAUGGAAACAAAAAGGUUACACUGCUACUACUGUGAUCAUUCACAGUACAUAACCCUUUCUUUCUCUCUUUCCCAUUUUUUUUUCUACUCAAACGAACAGAUUCAAAAGUUUCUUCCUAUCGCCACCACUGCUCUUAAAGGUCGUCGUCUCUGAUGAUUCUUUGGUGUAAAACGACACCGCAUCUCUGCCUUUCUUCUCUCUCCCAGCUCUACCUGAUGCCAAAAGCUUUGGCGGGAGAGAGAGAUUGAAAACGGACGCUUGAUUCUCCCUCGCCAUAUUAGUGUAAGGCUUUGAUUGUUUCCACGUGUUUCGUAACUCGCAUGCCUCCGCAGAGAAACUGACAGAAGACGACUCAUCGUAAUUUGGCGCCAAGACUCCGGAGUGAAUUCCCGGUAUCGGCCGCAGAAUUCCACCGGAGAGAACCGUCUCCACCGCCGCCUGGCACACGUGCCAGUUCCCGCUCCACAACAGUCCCACCGCUCCGUUUACUGGAUUCACGGUUCGCCCGCACGCCUCAAACAACAAGGAUUGAAACAAAGCUGGCCGUUGGGAUUCCGGCACGGCGGAGAUGAGGGACAUG